rnacentral:rRNA from 1 species
GACGAACGCUGGCGGCGUGCUUAACACAUGCAAGUCGAACGGAAAGGCCCUGCUUUUGUGGGGUGCUCGAGUGGCGAACGGGUGAGUAACACGUGAGUAACCUGCCCUUGACUUUGGGAUAACUUCAGGAAACUGGGGCUAAUACCGUAUAGGAGCUCCUGCUGCAUGGUGGGGGUUGGAAAGUUUCGGCGGUUGGGGAUGGACUCGCGGCUUAUCAGCUUGUUGGUGGGGUAGUGGCUUACCAAGGCUUUGACGGGUAGCCGGCAUGAGAGGGUGACCGGCCACAUUGGGACUGAGAUACGGACCAGACUCCUACGGGAGGCAGCAGUGGGGAAUAUUGCACAAUGGGAGGAAGCCUGAUGCAGAAACGCCGCGUGCGGGAUGACGGCCUUCGGGUUGUAAACCGCUUUCGCCUGUGACGAAGCGUGAGUGACGGUAAUGGGUAAAGAAGCACCGGCUAACUACGUG